AUGCCUCCAGUCCAGCCAGUAGGGUCUAUGGGUGGUCCCCCUGGAUUCCCUGGCCCUCCCCCCUCUCUCACCCCCGGUGGACCCCCUCCCUUCCUGCCCGCUGGUUUCAACCCCACACAGAUGCCUCCAGGUUUCCCUCAACCAGUGGUAGGAGGGCCAAGGAGCACCAUCGAUGACUCAGGGUCUAAAGACAAGGCUGGAGGGAGUGGUGGCCUCUCUGGCCCCUCAGACGCUCCAGACAGCCAGCUGGGAGCUCCAGGGCCAGGGGCCGUGAUGAGUCCUCCAGGCCCAGCAGUGUUACUGGGCCCCAGGCUGGCCAUGCUGACCAUGCAGCCUCGUCCAGGACUACCACCCCCUCAACUCCAGCCCCCCUUCCCCCCUCACCUCCCUCCCCCCAACAUGCCCCCAAUGAUGAUGGGCUCCCGGGGUCCCAACCCCAUGUUCCCCCCCAGGGGGGGCCCUCCAGGUGGGUUCAGGAUGCCCAUGGGCCACCAGUCCAUGGAGGACUUUCCUCACGGACCCCCGAGACAUCCCUUCCAGCCCGGACCCCCCGGGGAAGAAGGUGGCAACUGGGAGGGCGGGAGACACUUCCGGGGCGAGAGGCCAGGGUUUGGGGGACAUGACAGGGAUUGGGGUCGGUUUGGGGAGCAGGCGAGAGGGUUUCCGAGAGGAGGAGGAGGAGGAGGAAGAGGAGGGGGAAAUGGUUGGUCCAGAGGUGGGCCUGAGGGGAGGGACCGUUUCAUGAACCGACAGGAUAGAUUUGAACGGUGAUGACAGGGCCAGGGGGGGGUGGAGCUGGAGAGACUGGGAUCAACAUCCAUGGUCCUGUAGGGAGAGAACCUUUUGGAACAGGAAUGAACGAUCUGAACUCGUCCAAUAAAAACACAAGAGUUUAGUUUUUCUACAGUGCGUGUAACUGAACAUAACCCAGAUUAUCUGGCCUCAAGAGAACCACUUGGACACUGGGCACAUUUGAGUCAGACACAAACAUUGUAAUGUACAGCCUGUCCCUGAACAAUUUCUCUACCGUUCCAAAGACAUUAAGACUAACACAAAGAAACAUUAUGGUCCGGUUACGCAGACACAGAAUGGACCUAGUCCGUGAAUAAAAAGCAUGUUCAAUGGAGGAUCUCUGUUAGAAUGACUUCCUAGUCCUUGACUAGGUUUAAUCUGUGCCUGGGAAAACAACUCUAUGAGAAUAUCACAGUUUAAACCAACGGCAGUCUAAUUUUGCAGUCAGUUCAUGUGAAUAACUUUGUCCUAUUUUGAGCUGGUAUAUUCUGACAGAAAACGACAGAUAAGAAUACUGCUUGGUAUAUAUUGUAUGUGCUGAUGGUCAAUAUCUUGUUUUGUAUAUUUUGAGUGAAUGUUUUGUUAAUUCUCAAGUAAGUCUGUCACUAGGGCAGUUAGAAAACCAAACUUGAUUUGUUGUCAGUUUUACGGUUGCAUCUGAAAACACGAUGAUCUUUGUAUUGCUUCAGAACACGAAAAUAUUUUGCUUCAGAAUUUCUAUCAUUAGCUGUUUUGUUUUUAGUAAACUAUUUUUGUACUAAGCAAGUGUGUCUUUUUUAUAAAUUCUUCCUGGGAGGCAAAUUUUAAAUGCAAUGUUUUUUUUCACUCACUGACAAGGGAAACUGUUGGUAGUUCCAUUGUCUACCACUAGAGGGCAAUGUAGCACUUUUUACCUGGGAUAGUAGCCAGGGUCUCACUUUUACAUGUUAAUCAAAUCAAACUUUAUUUGCCACAUGCGCCAAAUACAACCAUGAAAUGCUUACUUACAAGCCCUUAACCAACAGCGCAGUUCAAGAAGAAGAAAAUAUUUACCAAGUAGACUAAAAUAAAAAGUUACAAUAAAAAGUAACACAAUAAGAAUAACGAGGCUUUAUAUAGGGGGCACCGGUAACGAGUCAGUGUGCAGGGGAACAGGCUAGUUGAGGUAAUCUGUACAUGCAGGUGGGGGCGAAGUGACUAUGCAUAGGUAACAAACAACCAGCGAACAGCAGCAGUGUACAGAGGGUUGGGUGAGGAGGUCAAUGUAAAUUGUCCAGUGGCGAUUUUUAUGAAUUGUUCAGCAGUCUUAUGGCUUGGGGGUAGAAGCUGUUGAGGAGCCUUUUGGUCCUAGACUUAACAGUCCGGUACCGCUUGCCGUGGGGUAACAAAGAGAACAGUCUAUGACUUGGGCGACUGGAGUCUCUGACAAUGUUAUGGGCUUUCCUCUGACACCGCCUAUUAUAUAGGUCCUGGAUGGCAGGAAGCUUGGCCCCAGUGAUGUACUGGGCCGUUCGCACUACCCUCUGUAGCGCCUUACGGUCAGAUGCCGAGCAGUUGCCAUACCAGGCGGUGAUGCAACCGGUCAGGAUGCUCUUGAUGGUGCAGCUGUAAAACCUUUUGAGAAUCUGGGGGCCCAUGCCAAAUAUUUUCAGUCUCCUGAGGGGGAAUAGGUUUUGUUGUGCCCUCUUCACGACUGUCUUGGUGUGCUCGGACCAUGUUAGUUUGUUGGUGAUGUGGACACCAAGGAACUUGAAACUCUCGACCCGCUCCACUACAGCCCCGUUGAUGUUAAUGGGGGCCUGAUCGGCACGCCUUUUGCUGUAGUCUACGAUCAGGUCCUUAGUCUUGCUCACAUUGAGGGAGAGGUUGUUGUCCUGGCACCACCCGGCCAGGUCUCUGACCUCCCUAAAGGCCGUCUCAUCAUUGUCGGUGAUCAGGCCUACCACUGUUGUGUUGUCAGCAAACUUAAUGAUGGCGUUGUAGUCGUGUUUGGCCACGCAUUCGUGAGUGAACAGGGAAUACAGGAGGGGACUAAUUACACACCCCUGAGGGGCCCAUUGUUAAGGAUCAGCAUGGCAGAUGUAUUGUUGCCUACUCUUACCACCUGGGGGCAGCCCGUCAGAAAGUCCAGGAUCCAGUUGCAGAGGGAGGUGUUUAGUCCCAGAGUCCUUAGUUUAGUGAUGAGCUUUGUGGGCACUAUGGUGUUGAAUGCUGAGCUGUAGUCAAUGAAUAGCAUUCUCACAUAGGUGUUCCUUUUGUCCAGGUGGGAAAAGGGCGGUGUGGAAUGCGAUUGAGAUUGCGUCAUCUGUGGAUCUGUUGGGGCGGUAUGCGAAUUGGAGUGGGUCUAGGGUGUCCCAGAGGAUACUGUUGAUGUGAGCCAUGACCAGCCUUUCAAAGCACUUCAUGGCUACCGAUGUGAGUGCCACGGGGCGGUAAUCAUUUACCUUUGCUUCCUUGGGCACAGGGACUAUGGUGGAAUGCUUGAAACAUGUAGGUAUUACAGACUCGGUCAGGGAGAGGUUGAAAAUGUCAGUGAAGACACUUGACAGUUGGUCUGCGCAUGCUUUGAGUACACAUCCUGGUAAUCUGUCUGGCCCAGCGGCUUUGUGAAUGUUGACCUGUUUAAAGGUCUUGUUCACGUCGGCUACCGAGAGCAUUAUCACACAGUCAUCCAGAACAGCUGGUGCUCUCGUGCAUGCUUCAGUGUUGCUUGCCUCGAAGCGAGCAUAAAAGGCAUUUAGCUAGUCUGGUAGGCUCCCGUCACUGGGCAGCUCGCGUCUGGGUUUCCCCUUGUAGUCCGUAAUAGUUUUCAAGCCCUGCCACAUCCGACGAGCCUCAGAGCUGGUGUAGUAGUAUUCAAUCUUUAACCCUGUAUAGACGCUUUGUUUGUUUGAUGGUUCGUCUGAGGGCAUUGUGGGAUUUCUUAUAAGCGUCCGGAUUAGUCUCACGCUCCUUGAAAGCGACAGCUUUAGCCUUUAGCUCGAUGCGGAUGUUGCCUGUAAUCCAUGGCUUCUGGUUGGGAUAUGUACGUACAGUCACUGUGGGGACGACGUCGUCGAUGCACUUAUUGAUGAAGCCAAUGACUGAUGUGGUGUACUCCUCAAUGCCAUUGGAUGAAUCCCAGAACAUAUUCCAGUCUGUGCUAGCAAAACAGUCCUGUAGCGUAGCAUCCGCGUCAUCUGACCACUUCCCUAUUGAGCGAGUCACUGGUACUUCCUGCUUUAGUUUUUGCUUGUAAACAGGAAUCAGGAGGAUAGAAUUAUGGUCAGAUUUGCCAAAUGGAGGACGGGGGAGAGCUUUGUAUGCAUCUCUGUGUGUGGAGUAAAGGUGGUCUAGGAUUUUGUUUUUCCUGAUUGCAUUAAGACUAACAUGUGACAUGCUGGUAAAAAAAAAAUGUUGUAAAACUGAUUUAAGUUUGCCUGCAUUGUUAGUCAUUUAGCAGAUAGAGCAACUUCCAGUUAGUGCAUUCACGUUAAGAUAGCUAGGUGAGACAACCACAUAUCACAGUCAGAGUAAGUCAAUUGUUCCUCAAUGAAGUAGCUAUAAGCAAGUCAGAACUAAUAGGGGGAAAGUCAAGUGUGAGGUGUUAGUUCAUGAAAGGCAAGUUGUUUUUUUGGGUGGUGGUGGUGGGGAGGAGGGGGGUGUUACUGUGCCACCCUAUUCCCAAAAUAUUACACCAUCUUUGACCAGGGCCCAUAGGUCUCUGGUCAGAAGUAGUGCAUUUAUAUAGAGGAUAGAUUAGGGUGCCAAUUGGGAUGCGCCCGUUGUCUCUGCAGCCAUCUUAAGUUUUCUCUAUGCUCAGCUCGUCAUCUGUCUGUAGGCUCAUCCAGACGGUAUCCAUUUUGUACAUCUGUUUACAUUAUCUGACAACAACAGGUAUAUUAUUCACACCUGGUUUGUUAUCUUACAGUGCCGUCAGAAAGUAUUCAUACCCCUUGACUUAUUCUACAUUUUGUGUUACAGCCUGAAUUAAAAAAUGGAUUUAUUUUCUCACCAAUCUACAGACAAUAGCCCAUAAUGACAGAGUGAAAACAUGUUUUGUACAUAAGUUUACUUAAUUAUUCACACCCCUGAGUCAAUACAUGUUAGAAUCACCUUUAGAAGUGAUUACAGCUGUUCGUCUUUCUCGGUAAGUCUCUAUGAGCUUUGCACACCUGGUUUGUACAAUAUUUGCACAUUCUAUCAAAAAAUAAUUCAAGCUCCGUCAAGUUGGUUGUUGAUCAUUACUAGACAACCAUUUUCAGGUCUAUUUGGCCAGGUUUUCCUCUAGGAUUUUGCCUGUGCUUAGCUCUAUUCUGUUUCUUUUCAUCCUAAAUAAAAUCCUUAGUCCUUAACGAUAACAAGCAUACCCAUAACAUGAUGCAGCCACCACCAUGACUGAAAAUAUGAAGAGUGGUACUCAGUGAUGUGUUGUGUGGAUUUGCCCCAAACAUAAUGCUUUGUAUUCAGGAUAUAAAGUUCAUUUAUUUGCCACAUUUUUUGCAGUUUUACUUUAUUGCCUUAUUGCUAACAGGAUGUGUGUUUUGGAAUAUGUUUUAUUCUGUACAGACUUCCUUCUUUUCAAUCUGUCAAUUAGGUUAGUAUUGUGGAGUAGCUAAAAUGUUGUUGAUCCACCCUCAGUUUUCUCCAUUCACUGCCAU
rnacentral:lncRNA from 1 species